AAUUACAACAGAAACUAAGAAAAAUGCGUUGCUAAAUGUAACAUUAACCUAACUAGAAAUGAAGCGAUUGCACGGAAAACAGAAUACGAAAACUAUACCAAUAAUACAUACAAAAGGUAAAUAACGUAAAUGUAAAAGAAAUUAAAACUUACUUUGGUCUAGCUCCUAACGGCAGUAAAUAGCUUGUAGCGAACGGUAGCAAAUAGCUUGUAGCCAUUAUCUAGCAGCGACGAUUUAGCAGUGAUGAUUUAGCAGCGAUGACUAAAAGCGACGAUUGAAAUAGAAUCUUUACACGUGCACUUAAGUGGAAAUUUGAUCGGAGAUAACAAACUUACUGUAAUAAUCAUUAACUAACGAAAGACUUAGAAAUGAACCAGAACAAAGCUAUAAUAAGGUGUAAUUAACUAAGUGUUUCGAAACUAACACGAAGAUUUACCUCCGUUCAGUAAGUAAAUGGCAAGGAAAGUAACUGUUGGAGCCAUUCCUGUAUUUAGUCACUGGUGUAGGGAUGUACUCGGUGACUUAUGAAAGCGUUACCGUUGCCCGUGGGCAGAGAUAGGAAAAUAUGGACUGUACUAAGAACCAAUCAGAUUGCAGGAUUCGUUUCCGUGACCUCUAAGAAAAAACCUGCAAGAGCUAAUGACACAACUCCUGAGAACACAACUGCAAGGCAGGAACUGAAGCAGGGGGAGAAAUCAAGUGAAAGUUAAAAGGAACAAAGAGUUUUGGUGUUUCGUUCUACUUGCCAUCUUCUUUCUUCCUAAAAUACUUAUUUUAUGUCAACUACAUCCUCACACAUUUUUAUUUUUGGUUUCUGUGGGAUUGAAUUGGCUUCUUCACCAAAAGAGAAGAAAAUGAUGCUGAAAAAAACCUGAGCCAAGCUCUUUGCCUUGCAAGUCAGACUGGCAGACAACAAAAUGACAAUGGAUGGAAAUAAAUGUUUGGAAGGCAUGUUUCCAAAAGAGAUGAGGGGAAUCCCCAAACUCAUGGACACUAAGAUUCCCUUAACUCUUUGACCCCUAAGAGUGACCAGCAUCUAAUUUCUCCUUACAAUAUCACUCGUUAAUCACACAUUUAGGUCUCAAGAAUAAAGGAAAUGAUCACCAACUUAAGCAGCUCUUGAUUGAUGAACAAAAUUCUCCUUGUCAGCACCUUAGGACAUGUAUGGAGAACAGUUGGGAGAAUAUACAUAGUAAUGUUUGGGUGUAAAAAGUUUUCAUCUGCAGCUUUGACUACGUGACCAUCGUAUUCAUGGUCAUGUAAUAUCAAACAUAAACCGUCUCCGGCCAAGAGUAAAUUUGUAAAAAGACGCUUCAAACGGUCC